rnacentral:rRNA from 1 species
ACAGCUGUCGAAAGAUGGUUUCUUCGGACACUGUUCAAGGUGCUGCAUGGUUGUCGUCAGCUCGUGCCGUGAGGUGUCGGGUUAAGUCCCAUAACGAGCGCAACCCUUACCGUUAGUUACCAUCAGGUUAAGCUGGGGACUCUAGCGGGACUGCCACCGUAAGGUGAGAGGAAGGUGGGGAUGACGUCAAAUCAGCACGGCCCUUAUGUCCAGGGCUACACACGUGUUACAAUGGCCAGUACAAAGGGCAGCUACCGGGUGACCGGAUGCUAAUCUCUAAAGCUGGUCUCAGUUCGGAUCGAAGUCUGCAACCCGACUUCGUGAAGCUGGAUUCGCUAGUAAUCGCGCAUCAGCCAUGGCGCGGUGAAUACGUUCCCGGGCCUU